GAUUUGGCUGAUCUGAUCUAUGUGUAUCAACUAAAGAUCAGCUCAGGACAGAAAGAUAAACACAUCGGUCUGAAUGUUCCCUCCCUUCCACAUGUUACCACGCACAAAUUUUUUUAUUUUUUUAUUUUUAUUUGUAAGAUUUUUUGGGAAGAACAAUGAAAAUGGUCUUUGAUUAUACUGAUUAGAGGUUUUUAGUCAUAUGGGUUUUGAUAAUCAAUAGAUUCAAGGAAAUGGGUAUUUGAUAAAUUUGGAAGAUUUUGAUGUAUGAGUCUUUGAUUUUGUUAUUUGAUUCUGAUUUGUUUAUUGCUAAAAUCUAGAAAACUUGAUAUCUUGCUUCUAUACAUAUAAAGAUUGAAUUUCUCUAACAAGAAUUAUGUUCUAUUUUUGCGUAAUCGAAAUAUUGCAACUUUUGGUAAUUAAUUAAUCAAUCUUAUUGAAUAUCAUGUUAUUUGUUUCCUAUCGUACGAGAAUCCGGAAAAGAUCCGUUUUAUUACACGUGUUCUCCUUUUCUUUGGUGUAAAUAACUUGAUAAAUAUUGUGUGUUUACUCGUUCAUGCGAUUUAAUUGGUUCUUAUAUUUUCCUCUGAAAUGUGUGAUAAUCUUUCUUUGAAGAGGAUCGAAGGGUCGAACUUUUGAUAAUUCUUUAUAACGAAGAAUCACAAGUGUUGGCUAAUCUUGCCUUAGCAAGUAUGACACACAAGUAUGCUCAUCAAUACUAUUGGUGUUUCCAUUUGAUUCAAUGACUAUAAAAUAUUUUGUUGUUUGUUUNN
rnacentral:lncRNA from 1 species